rnacentral:rRNA from 1 species
GAUGAACGCUGGCGGCGUGCCUAAUACAUGCAAGUCGAGCGAAGGGGGGAGGGGUGAGUAACAGGGGGAAAACCUCCUAUAAGACUGGGAUAAAGGGGGGAAACCGUAGCAAAACCGGAUACUUAUAGGUAGAUGCGCGCUGCAUUCGCUAGUUGGUAAGGUAACGGCUUACAAAGGCAACGCUGCAUAGCCGACCUGAGGGGGGUGUCGGCCAACCUGUGACUGAGACACGGUCCAGACUCCGACGGGAGGCAGCAGUAGGGAAUCUUCGGCAAUGGGCGAAAGCCUGACGGAGCAACGCCGCGUGAGUGAGGAAGUUUUUCGGAUCGUAAAACUCUGUUAUUAGGGAAGCGGUAUCUAACCAGAAAGCCACGGCUAACUACGUGCCAGCAGCCGCGGUAAUUC